rnacentral:rRNA from 1 species
GGGUUGUGAGGUUAAGCGACUAAGCGUACACGGUGGAUGCCCUGGCAGUCAGAGGCGAUGAAGGACGUGCUAAUCUGCGAUAAGCGUCGGUAAGGUGAUAUGAACCGUUAUAACCGGCGAUUUCCGAAUGGGGAAACCCAGUGUGUUUCGACACACUAUCAUUAACUGAAUCCAUAGGUUAAUGAGGCGAACCGGGGGAACUGAAACAUCUAAGUACCCCGAGGAAAAGAAAUCAACCGAGAUUCCCCCAGUAGCGGCGAGCGAACGGGGAGGAGCCCAGAGCCUGAAUCAGUGUGUGUGUUAGUGGAAGCGUCUGGAAAGGCGCGCGAUACAGGGUGACAGCCCCGUACACAAAAAUGCACAUGCUGUGAGCUCGAUGAGUAGGGCGGGACACGUGGUAUCCUGUCUGAAUAUGGGGGGACCAUCCUCCAAGGCUAAAUACUCCUGACUGACCGAUAGUGAACCAGUACCGUGAGGGAAAGGCGAAAAGAACCCCGGCGAGGGGAGUGAAAAAGAACCUGAAACCGUGUACGUACAAGCAGUGGGAGCCUCUUUUAUGGGGUGACUGCGUACCUUUUGUAUAAUGGGUCAGCGACUUAUAUUCUGUAGCAAGGUUAACCGAAUAGGGGAGCCGAAGGGAAACCGAGUCUUAACUGGGCGUUAAGUUGCAGGGUAUAGACCCGAAACCCGGUGAUCUAGCCAUGGGCAGGUUGAAGGUUGGGUAACACUAACUGGAGGACCGAACCGACUAAUGUUGAAAAAUUAGCGGAUGACUUGUGGCUGGGGGUGAAAGGCCAAUCAAACCGGGAGAUAGCUGGUUCUCCCCGAAAGCUAUUUAGGUAGCGCCUCGUGAAUUCAUCUCCGGGGGUAGAGCACUGUUUCGGCAAGGGGGUCAUCCCGACUUACCAACCCGAUGCAAACUGCGAAUACCGGAGAAUGUUAUCACGGGAGACACACGGCGGGUGCUAACGUCCGUCGUGAAGAGGGAAACAACCCAGACCGCCAGCUAAGGUCCCAAAGUCAUGGUUAAGUGGGAAACGAUGUGGGAAGGCCCAGACAGCCAGGAUGUUGGCUUAGAAGCAGCCAUCAUUUAAAGAAAGCGUAAUAGCUCACUGGUCGAGUCGGCCUGCGCGGAAGAUGUAACGGGGCUAAACCAUGCACCGAAGCUGCGGCAGCGACACUAUGUGUUGUUGGGUAGGGGAGCGUUCUGUAAGCCUGUGAAGGUGUGCUGUGAGGCAUGCUGGAGGUAUCAGAAGUGCGAAUGCUGACAUAAGUAACGAUAAAGCGGGUGAAAAGCCCGCUCGCCGGAAGACCAAGGGUUCCUGUCCAACGUUAAUCGGGGCAGGGUGAGUCGACCCCUAAGGCGAGGCCGAAAGGCGUAGUCGAUGGGAAACAGGUUAAUAUUCCUGUACUUGGUGUUACUGCGAAGGGGGGACGGAGAAGGCUAUGUUGGCCGGGCGACGGUUGUCCCGGUUUAAGCGUGUAGGCUGGUUUUCCAGGCAAAUCCGGAAAAUCAAGGCUGAGGCGUGAUGACGAGGCACUACGGUGCUGAAGCAACAAAUGCCCUGCUUCCAGGAAAAGCCUCUAAGCAUCAGGUAACAUCAAAUCGUACCCCAAACCGACACAGGUGGUCAGGUAGAGAAUACCAAGGCGCUUGAGAGAACUCGGGUGAAGGAACUAGGCAAAAUGGUGCCGUAACUUCGGGAGAAGGCACGCUGAUAUGUAGGUGAAGUCCCUCGCGGAUGGAGCUGAAAUCAGUCGAAGAUACCAGCUGGCUGCAACUGUUUAUUAAAAACACAGCACUGUGCAAACACGAAAGUGGACGUAUACGGUGUGACGCCUGCCCGGUGCCGGAAGGUUAAUUGAUGGGGUCAGCGCAAGCGAAGCUCUUGAUCGAAGCCCCGGUAAACGGCGGCCGUAACUAUAACGGUCCUAAGGUAGCGAAAUUCCUUGUCGGGUAAGUUCCGACCUGCACGAAUGGCGUAAUGAUGGCCAGGCUGUCUCCACCCGAGACUCAGUGAAAUUGAACUCGCUGUGAAGAUGCAGUGUACCCGCGGCAAGACGGAAAGACCCCGUGAACCUUUACUAUAGCUUGACACUGAACAUUGAGCCUUGAUGUGUAGGAUAGGUGGGAGGCUU